GCAAUAUCGGACGGCGGCGGUCCGGCGGCGCGGCGGCACUCAGCAGUGACAGCCCGGCGCUGCCGACGCGGCGACCUCGGUCUCGCCGCUGACAGGGUGCCUGGCCGUGCGGCGCUGGCCGCUGAGCCGCCUCACGAGCGGUCGCCGGUGACCACUGCCAGGCCAACUACGUUACCUGCCUCAUAGCACAAAUUCGAGCGACGCAAGUUCAAAUCUCCGCCUGCCC